rnacentral:rRNA from 1 species
UACGGAGGGAGCUAGCGUUGUUCGGAAUUACUGGGCGUAAAGCGCGCGUAGGCGGCUUUGUAAGUUAGAGGUGAAAGCCCGGGGCUCAACCCCGGAACAGCCUUUAAGACUGCAUCGCUGGAAUCCGGGAGAGGUGAGUGGAAUUCCGAGUGUAGAGGUGAAAUUCGUAGAUAUUCGGAAGAACACCAGUGGCGAAGGCGGCUCACUGGACCGGUAUUGACGCUGAGGUGCGAAAGCGUGGGGAGCAAACAGG